rnacentral:rRNA from 1 species
CAGUCGCCACGGGAAUACGUAGGGUGCAAGCGUUAAUCGGAAUUACUGGGCGUAAAGCGUGCGCAGGCGGUUUGUUAAGACAGAUGUGAAAUCCCCGGGCUCAACCUGGGAACUGCAUUUGUGACUGUAUAGCUAGAGUACGGCAGAGGGGGAUGGAAUUCCGCGUGUAGCAGUGAAAUGCGUAGAUAUGCGGAGGAACACCGAUGGCGAAGGCAAUCCCCUGGGCCUGUACUGACGCUCAUGCACGAAAGCGUGGGGAGCAAACAGGAUUAGAUACCCCCGUAGUCCCUGUCUCUUAUAC